rnacentral:rRNA from 1 species
GACGAACGCUGGCGGCGUGCUUAACACAUGCAAGUCGAACGGAAAGGCCCUGCUUUUGUGGGGUGCUCGAGUGGCGAACGGGUGAGUAACACGUGAGUAACCUGCCCUUGACUUUGGGAUAACUCCAGGAAACUGGGGCUAAUACCGGAUAGGAGCUCCUGCUGCAUGGUGGGGGUUGGUAAGUUUCGGCGGUUGGGGAUGGACUAGCGGGUUAUCAGCUUGUUGGUGGGGUAGUGGCUUACCAAGGCUUUGACGGGUAGCCGGCCUGGGAGGGUGACCGGCCACAUUGGGACUGAGAUACGGCCCAGACUCCUACGGGAGGCAGCAGGGGGGAAUAUUGCACAAUGGGCGGAAGCCUGAUGCAGCAACGCCGCGUGCGGGAUGACGGCCUUCGGGUUGUAAACCGCUUUCGCCUGUGACGAAGCGUGAGUGACGGUAAUGGGUAAAGAAGCACCGGCUAACUACGUG